rnacentral:rRNA from 1 species
UACGUAGGGGGCAAGCGUUGUCCGGAAUUAUUGGGCGUAAAGAGCUCGUAGGCGGUCUGUCGCGUCGGCUGUGAAAACCCGAGGCUCAACCUCGGGCCUGCAGUCGAUACGGGCAAACUAGAGUACUGCAGGGGAGACUGGAAUUCCUGGUGUAGCGGUGAAAUGCGCAGAUAUCAGGAGGAACACCGGUGGCGAAGGCGGGUCUCUGGGCCGUAAACUGACGCUGGAGGGAGCG